CUGUUUUACCAUAAUGUUUGUGUUUUUUUCAUUUUAGAUUCAUUGUCACGAGUUUAUUACUUUGUUUGAAAAGCAAUACCCAGACUAUCCCUGGAGCGUUAUACAGGCUGAAUUGUUCAAGAGCUUUACUGAACUCUUCCAAGUAGCAUCAUCUAAACCAGCCCCUUACGGUAUCUGUGAUUACCAGUCUUCGCGUGCAAUUUAUGCCAUUGACUUGAUGCUUAAAUGGGCCACCAACAGUGACGGUCAACGGGUGAUGCAGCCACAAAUCCUGGAGGUUAACUUCAACCCAGACUGUGCACGAGCCUGUAAAUAUCACCCUACAUUUUUCAAUGAUGUGUUUAGUGCCCUAUUUUUGGAUGAAACCGCCAAUUGCCACGUCACUACAAUUGUUUAACCACAAGAUGCUUCUGAUAUGAGCACACGCGCUUUAUAAGAACUUUAUAGCAAUGCCGACAGCUUUGUUAGGCUAUACCUUGGUGUACAGAUGUAUUUCGUUACUAUAUCUUUAUAUGAUGAUGCCGUAUAUAAUCAGAAAAUUACACCCAAUGUUAACAACCCACUUAUUUCUCAGGUAUCUCAGUGUGUAACCCCCCCAUCCCAGAGUGGUCUGCAGUAUACAGGCAUUACAGCCCUCUGGCAGACAAUUGCUGAUUAAUAUACCUUCUCUGUAAAUUAGCAAGAAGCUCUGUAUCUUACUUAGCCAUGUGCCUAAUUAUUAGAAAUGCAAAAUACAGUUUACCUUCUAGUAAAAAGCUGCAUUUGCAGAGAGACGUGAGAAUGUAAUGUAUAGAGGUCACUACGUGCUUAGUUUAAAUAGAAUAGAUCGUCUUCCAUCCGUACACCCAAACUAUUCUUUGUCUGCUCAGCUGACUAGUGUGUGGGUUGCUAGAAUUGGGUAAUACAAGAACUUGAAAGUUUCAGAAAUUGUUUGUAAAAUGCCCUAACUUUAUUUACACAAUGAAAUAUGCAAUAUGUGACCAUAACCUCAUUGGCAACCAGUGCAGCUUAAUUUAACUGUCUCUUUACAGUUCUCUGUUUGGUAUUACGAGGUUUAUCUGAAAACUACGAUGUGAACUUAUAUGUGCUCAAAUCUUGUUGCUGGAAAAUAACUCAAUAAACCAAAUAUCCUA